UGGGGAAUAUUGGGCAAUGGGGGAAACCCUGACCCAGCAACGCCGCGUGAAGGAAGAAGGUUUUCGGAUUGUAAACUUCUGUCCUAAGGGAAGAAAGAAAUGACGGUACCUUAGGAGGAAGCCCCGGCUAACUACGUGCCAGCAGCCGCGGUAAUACGUAGGGGGCAAGCGUUGUCCGGAAUUAUUGGGCGUAAAGGGUGCGUAGGCGGCCGAUCAAGUCAGGUGUGAAAGACCCGUGCUUAACAUGGGGGUUGCACUUGAAACUGGUUGGCUUGAGUAUGGGAGAGGCAAGCGGAAUUCCCGGUGUAGCGGUGAAAUGCGUAGAGAUCGGGAGGAACACCAGUGGCGAAGGCGGCUUGCUGGACCAAAAGCUGACGCUGAGGCACGAAAGCGUGGGUAGCAAACAGGAUUAGAUACC
rnacentral:rRNA from 1 species